rnacentral:rRNA from 1 species
GAGUUUGAUCCUGGCUCAGAACGAACGCUGGCGGCAGGCCUAACACAUGCAAGUCGAACGCCCCGCAAGGGGAGUGGCAGACGGGUGAGUAACACGUGGGAAUCUGCCCAGGGGUUCGGGACAACUCGGGGAAACCCGAGCUAAUACCGGAUACGCUCUUCGGAGGAAAGAUUCAUCGCCCCUGGAUGAGCCCGCGUCGGAUUAGCUUGUUGGUGGGGUAACGGCCCACCAAGGCGACGAUCCGUAGCUGGUCUGAGAGGAUGAUCAGCCACACUGGGACUGAGACACGGCCCAGACUCCUACGGGAGGCAGCAGUGGGGAAUCUUGGACAAUGGGGGAAACCCUGAUCCAGCCAUGCCGCGUGGGUGAAGAAGGCCCUAGGGUUGUAAAGCCCUUUCGGCGGGGAAGACAAUGACGGUACCCGCAGAAGAAGCCCCGGCAAACUUCGUGCCAGCAGCCGCGGUAAUACGAAGGGGGCUAGCGUUGUUCGGAAUUACUGGGCGUAAAGCGCGCGCAGGCGGAUGGCUAAGUCAGGGGUGAAAGCCUGGAGCUCAACUCCAGAAUUGCCUUUGAUACUGGCCGUCUUGAGUGCGGGAGAGGUGAGUGGAAUUCCCAGUGUAGAGGUGAAAUUCGUAGAUAUUG